GACGGAAGGUGCAAGCGUUGCUCGGAAUCACUGGGCGUAAAGGGUGCGUAGGCGGCCGUGCAAGUCUGGCGUGAAAGCCCCGGGCUCAGCCCGGGAAGUGCGCUCGAAACUGCGCGGCUCGAGUGCCGGAGGGGAGAGUGGAAUUCCUGGUGUAGCGGUGAAAUGCGUAGAUAUCAGGAGGAACACCGGUGGCGAAGGCGGGUCUCUGGGCAGUAACUGACGCUGAGGAGCGAAAGCGUGGGGAGCGAACAGG
rnacentral:rRNA from 1 species